rnacentral:rRNA from 1 species
UUUAGUUCAGACCGUAAACGAUGCCAUCUGGUAAUCCAUCGGUGUUAUAUUUGACUCGAUGGGCGACCUACGGGAAACCUAAGUCAGGUUCCAGGGGAAGUAUGGUUGCAAAGCUGAAACUUAAAGGAAUUGACGGAAGGGCACCACCAGGAGUGGAGCCUGCGGCUUAAUUUGACUCAACACGGGGAAACUCACCCGGUCCGGACACUGUAAGGAUUGACAGAUUGAGAGCUCUUUCUUGAUUCGGUGGUUGGUGGUGCAUGGCCGUUCUUAGUUGGUGGAGCGAUUU